AUUGAACGCUGGCGGCAUGCCUUACACAUGCAACUCGAAUGGUAACGGGCCUUCGGGUGCCGCCGAGUGGCGAACGGGUGAGUAAUACAUCGGAACGUGCCCGAUCGUGGGGGAUAACGAGGCGAAAGCUUUGCUAAUACCGCAUACGAUCUACGGAUGAAAGCAGGGGACCGCAAGACCUUGCGCGGACGGAGCGGCCGAUGGCAGAUUAGGUAGUUGGUGGGAUAAAAGCUUACCAAGCCGACGAUCUGUAGCUGGUCUGAGAGGAUGAUCAGCCACACUGGGACUGAGACACGGCCCAGACUCCUACGGGAGGCAGCAGUGGGGAAUUUUGGACAAUGGGCGCAAGCCUGAUCCAGCCAUGCCGCGUGCAGGAUGAAGGCCUUCGGGUUGUAAACUGAUUUUGUACGGAACGAAAAGCCUUCUUUUAAUACAGGAGGGUCAUGACGGUACCGUAAGAAUAAGCACCGGCUAACUACGUG
rnacentral:rRNA from 1 species